CGUAGGUGAACCUGCGGAAGGAUCAUUAACGAAUAACUAUGGUGUCUCAGGUUGUAGCUGGCUCCUCGGAGCAAUGUGCACGCCCGCCAUUUUUAUCUUUCCACCUGUGCACCGACUGUAGGUCUGGAUACCUCUCGCCGCAAGGCGGAUGCGAGGGUUGCUCGUAAAGGGCUCCCCUCGAACUUCCAGGCUCUACGUCUUUUUACCCCCCCCAAUAGUAUGAUGCAAAAUGGAGUCCAUGGGCUUCACAGCCUAUAAAACACUAUACAACUUUCAGCAACGGAUCUCUUGGCUCUCGCAUCGAUGAAAAACGCAGCGAAAUGCGAUAAGUAAUGGGAAUUGCAGAAUUCAGUGAAUCAUCGAAUCUUUGAACGCACCUUGGGCUCCUUGGUAUUCCGAGGAGCAUGCCUGUUUGAGUGUCAUUAAAUUCUCAACCUCACCCGUUUUCUGAACGGGGUCGAGGCUUGGAUGUGGGGGUUUGUGCAGGCUGCCUUCACUGGCGGUCUGCUCCCCUGAAAUGCAUUAGCGAGGUUCAUGCUGAACUUCCGUCUAUUGGUGUGAUAAUUAUCUACGCCGUGGACGAGGAUCAGACUCGCUUCUAACCGUCCGCGAGGACAAUACCUUGACAAUUUGACCUCAAAUCAGGUAGGACUACCCGCUGAACUUAAGCAUAUCAAUAAGCGGAGGAAAAGAAACUAACAAGGAUUCCCCUAGUAACUGCGAGUGAAGCGGGAAAAGCUCAAAUUUAAAAUCUGGCGGUCUUUGGCCGUCCGAGUUGUAAUCUAGAGAAGUGUUACCCGCGUCGGACCGUGUACAAGUCUCCUGGAAUGGAGCGUCAUAGAGGGUGAGAAUCCCGUCUUUGACACGGACUACCGAGGCUUUGUGGUGCGCUCUCAAAGAGUCGAGUUGUUUGGGAAUGCAGCUCAAAAUGGGUGGUAAAUUCCAUCUAAAGCUAAAUAUUGGCGAGAGACCGAUAGCGAACAAGUACCGUGAGGGAAAGAUGAAAAGAACUUUGGAAAGAGAGUUAAACAGUACGUGAAAUUGCUGAAAGGGAAACGCUUGAAGUCAGUCGCGUCGUCCGGGAAUCAGCCUUCCUUCUGGUUGGUGUACUUCCUGGUCGACGGGCCAGCAUCAGUUUUGACCGGUGGAAAAAGUUCGAGGGAAUGUGGCACCUCCGGGUGUGUUAUAGCCCUCGUUCGUAUACAUCGGUUGGGACUGAGGAACUCAGCACGCCGCAAGGCCGGGAUUCGUCCACGUUCGUGCUUAGGAUGC
rnacentral:rRNA from 1 species